CUUAAUGAUUCCCUUUUACGAAGAGCCAGCCUGCGGAUCCAAACACUCCUUAUUCUAAAACGAUACACACAUAUGCAGAGCGCGCUUCCAGAGGGUCCUUGCACCGCCCGAAUCCGGCAGCAAAACUAAGACACACAGGGCUGCAGCGAAGAUCUUCUUACAGAAAUGCAUCUCUGGCAGCACCCCGGAACGCAUCUUCCCAAGGAGAGAUCCAGCAAGGAGCCCGGCUCUCGGGAUCCAGGCGGGAACCCACAGAACAUCACCAAGUCAAGAUUUCUCUGCUUCGAGAUUUGUGGUGCAGCUCCUCACACCAAAUUCCCGCUGCCUUCAAGGAUUUUGAGUGAGAUUGCUUCAUACAUCAUCACUGAGCAAGGAGUCAUCCUCUGGGCAUGAAUCUCUGUGAACUCCCAUUCCACAAGUGGUUUCAAUAAGGCAAAUCCUGCAGUAACAUAAAUUGCUGUCAGAUGACAGUGCAAGAACACAGGUGAGACUUGAGCAUCUCCUCGGGAGCUGUGAAACCCUCAGCAUCAUUUGUUACAGUGAGAAGAUGUAUCUGAAUGAAGGGACAGGCAUUUUAUCAGGCUACAGCAAUAAAAUCUUUUUUUGG